GUGCAGCAGGCGCGAAUACUUUACAAUGUGCGAAAGCACGAUAAGGGAACUCUGAGUGCCUCCUAAGGAGGCUGUUCAGGUGUCUAAAAGCACCUGGAGUAAGGGCUGGGUAAGACCGGUGCCAGCCGCCGCGGUAACACCGGCAGCCCAGGUGGUAGCCACUUUUAUUGGGUCUAAAGCGUCCGUAGCCGGUUGAGUAAGUUCCUUGGGAAAUUUGGCUGCUCAACAGUCAAGCUUCCAGGGAAUACUGCUCGACUUGGGGACU
rnacentral:rRNA from 1 species